GAUGAACGCUAGCUACAGGCUUAACACAUGCAAGUCGCAGGGUAACAUGAGGAAAGCUUGCUUUCCUUGAUGACGACUGGCGCACGGGUGAGUAACGCGUAUCCAACCUUCCCAUAACUACGGGAUAACCCGUUGAAAGACGGCCUAAUACCGUAUGAUAUCGUUUGCUGACAUCAAAUAACGAUUAAAGGUUUAGCGGUUAUGGAUGGGGAUGCGUCUGAUUAGCUUGUUGGCGGGGUAACGGCCCACCAAGGCGACGAUCAGUAGGGGUUCUGAGAGGAAGGUCCCCCACAUUGGAACUGAGACACGGUCCAAACUCCUACGGGAGGCAGCAGUGAGGUAUAUUGGUCAAUGGGCGAGAGCCUGAACCAGCCAAGUAGCGUGCAGGACGACGGCCCUAUGGGUUGUAAACUGCUUUUAUGUGGGGAUAAAGUGCGUGACGUGUCAUGCAUUGCAGGUACCACAUGAAUAAGGACCGGCUAAUUCCGUG
rnacentral:rRNA from 1 species